UACAUCCUACGGGGGGCAGCAGUGAGGAAUAUUGGUCAAUGGCCGGGAGGCUGAACCAGCCAAGUCGCGUGAGGGAAGACGGCCCUACGGGUUGUAAACCUCUUUUGUCAGGGAGCAAGGUGCAGGUCGGGACCUGCUGUGAGAGUACCUGAAGAAAAAGCAUCGGCUAACUCCGUGCCAGCAGCCGCGGUAAUACGGAGGAUCCAAGCGUUAUCCGGAUUUAUUGGGUUUAAAGGGUGCGUAGGCGGAUUGAUAAGUUAGAGGUGAAAUGUCCGAGCUCAACUCGGGAACUGCCUCUAAUACUG
rnacentral:rRNA from 1 species